rnacentral:rRNA from 1 species
AACGAACGCUGGCGGCAUGCCUAACACAUGCCAGUCGAACGAGACCUUCGGGUCUAGUGGCGCACGGGUGCGUAACGCGUGGGAACCUGCCCUUAGGUUCGGAAUAACUCCCCGAAAGGGGUGCUAAUACCGGAUAAUGUCUUCGGACCAAAGAUUUAUCGCCUUUGGAUGGGCCCGCGUUGGAUUAGCUAGUUGGUAGGGUAAAAGCCUACCAAGGCGACGAUCCAUAGCUGGUCUGAGGGGAUGAUCAGCCACACUGGGACUGAGACACGGCCCAGACUCCUACGGGAGGCAGCAGUGGGGAAUAUUGGACAAUGGGCGAAAGCCUGAUCCAGCAAUGCCGCGUGAGUGAUGAAGGCCUUAGGGUUGUAAAGCUCUUUUACCCGGGAUGAUAAUGACAGUACCGGGAGAAUAAGCGCCGGCUAACUCCGUG